rnacentral:rRNA from 1 species
CCCCUAGAUGUUCUGGGCCGCACGCGCGCUACACUGAACAGUUCAACAAGUCUUAACCUUGGCCGAUAGGUCUGGGUAAUCUUUGAACGCUGUUCGUGAUUGGGAUAGACCUUUGCAAUUAUGGGUCUUCAACGAGGAAUUCCUAGUAAACGCAAGUCAUCAGCUUGCAUUGAUUACGUCCCUGCCCUUUGUACACACCGCCCGUCGCACCUACCGAUUGAAUGGUCCGGUGAAAUCUCGGGACGGCGGCUUGGUCGCUUGCGUCCGACUGCUGAAACUUGAUUAAACCAUAUCAUUUAGAGGAAGGUGAAGUCGCANCA